GAAGGGUGGGCCUUUCUCAGACUCCGUCUCUGGAGGUUUAUGUUACUGUCCUUUUGAGAGAAUCCAGAUUCAGACUUUGAGUUCUGUGGCUGUGGGCAAAAACCAACAAAGACCCACAUCCUGUGUCCUUGGGAGCUUGAGGAGAGUUGACCAGUUUGUGUUGCCAUUGGGUCUGAGAACUUUGCCUUUAAAAUCCAUUCCUGGCCCCUGCCUACCGCUUCCUGGUCUGGGGAAUAGAGCUGAGGGGGCCACCCUCAGUCACCUGAAUUUGACUCUCCCCACAGAAACAGCAGAAGAAACAAGUGGAACAUCAGCUGGAAGAAGUAACAUGAUUUCUUUCUUUGCUCACGACAUAAAUGCUGGGUUUGGGGGACAAUCAGAUGUAGAGGUGCCAGUCUCGUGUCGCCCACUUCCAGCCUGGGGAAGAAGGCUCACCCCUCAGAUUCCACCCCAUCCUCCCAGGUUAUCCCGAUAACCUGGUCCCAUGGGUGGGCCUGUCCUGGGGCAUUGGUGGCAUUCUGGGGGCAUGUCUCUUGCUGUGCCAUCUCUGCCUCCCCCUGGUAAGAGCUCUGUCUUCCUCUUCCUGUAGGAAAAGAAAACCAACAAUGAAAUACACAAAGCACAAAUGGAGCAGUUAGAGGUUCAAUUCCAGACAAUCAACAUCCUCAUGUUGGAAAAAGCAGACUUGAAGACCACCCUUUACCAUACUAAACGUGCUGCCCGGCACUUUGAAGCAGAAUCUAAGGAUCUGGCCAGCCACCUGCAAUAUUCCUUGCAGUGUAUUGGAGAGUUGGAGUGGGCUCUCUGUGCUGUGUCUCCAUGCAGCAGCAGGAGGAGGACAGGGUGAGUCCAACCAGCUGCCCCAUCCCCUGGCAGCCUGGCUUCCCAGAUAGAGGAGUGAGCCUAAAGGUCCCUUCUGCAGGAUGGAGUGUCCUGCCCAGAAGGCAGCAUGGUCAUUUCUCGCUGCUUUUGUGUAUGGUUGUUAGAGGCAGCCUGGGGCUGAGUCAGCUGCUGUGGGUGAGUUGGGGGGCACUGUGGGGAGCGAGCACUGGAUGCAGAGCUCAGAGGCCACACAGCAGCUCCAGAACUGGAUGGUGAAGAUGAGAAGUUUAUAUCUGGGGAGCCCAGGCCAUUCUACACAGUGCCCCUUAAAAGGGCAAGGGGUAGGCUCAAUAUACAACUCGGUCGGUAAAGAUCAAGUCAUUUCCAAGCCUGUGGUCUGGUUUUUAAAAGAACUGUUCCACACAGUCCUGAAACAGGAGAGGCUGCGGGAGCAGGAGGAGAGGCUGCGGGAGUAGGAGGAGAGACUGCUGGAGCAGGAGAGACUGCUGGAGCAGGAGGGGCUGCAGGAACAGGGGGAGAGGCUGAGAAAGCAGGAGGAGAGGCUGCUACAGAAGGAGAGGCUGCUGGAGCAGGAGGAGAGGCUGCAAAGGCAGGAGGAGAGGCUGAGGGAAGAGGAAGAGAGGCUGUGGGAGCAGGAGCAGAGGCUGAGGGAGCAGGAGGAGAGGCUGCUGGAACUGGAGCAGAAAGCCAAGCUCUGGGACGAGCAGGCAGAGACACACAUGCAAACCAUGCGGAAUGACUGCACCACCAUCAGCCACAUGCUCUCGCAGAACCACGAGCUUGAUAAGCAGCUGGGCGAGCCACAGUACGACUUCCAGGAGCUGGUGGGUUGCCCCACCUGGGGAGCCUGCCUUCCUCCCUAGCCCUCCAGGCCUUUGUUUCCCCACCUGUAAAAUGGGCAUAUGUAGCCCUCACGUGAAAUGGUACUUCUAAAGGAACCUGUGAGCCAGAGCCCUGCUCUGAUGGCUGUGAGAGAGAGGGAAUGAUUUUUCUAACUUGCCUCCACCCUUCCCGGUGACAUGGGAGGCAGACAUCAAGUUCUGGGGUCUCCAGCUGCAGUGGGUGACCGCUGAUUGCUUCUCUUUGUCCAGAACAAAGAGAGCAAGGGCGCACUGCAGUUGGAGCAGCAAGUAAAGUUGCUGCAGGAGAAGCUGGGUGACCUGAAGGAGACGGUAACCUCCGCCCCAUCCAAGAAGGGCUGGGAGGCGGGCACCAGUCUCUGGAGAAGGGAAGUGUGAGGCCAAAGGCAGCUCCAGCCUGGAGGCAGGUGACGCCAGCACCCUUCAGGGCAGUCCUGUGACUGUUUCUUGCUUCCUGCCCUCUGACUUUUAGAGGUAGGUAGCCCUGGGCUCCUCCCAGGUCUGGACAUCAUCAUCCCAGCUAGAGGCAUGGAGCCCCCAAUCAUAGGGGAAGAGACAGUGGUAUAAGAGGCUCCUUUGCUGGGGGCAGUAGCUCACGCCUAUAAUCCCAGCACUUUGGGAGGCUGAGGCAGUAGAAUCACUUGAGGUCAGGAGUUUGAGACCAGCCUGGCCAACGUGGUGAAACCUCAUCUCUACUAAAAUUACAACAACAAC
rnacentral:lncRNA from 10 species